CCUACUGUGGGCAAGAGACUCUGUGCGACUAUUUAUUUAUUUUUUAUUGUAAUGUUAACGGUUUUUUAGUAAUCUCACUUUCUGUUCAGAGAUUUGUGGCGCAGCCUCGGGGAGUUGAGCAUUAAGUCUAGGUUUCUCCUCGACGCUGGUAGAGUGUCGUGUUAUUCUCCUUCUCCUCCUCCUCCUGGGCUUAAGCUUUGCCUCAAGGGAUUUGGGCAUUAAAUCCAUGUUUAGAUGGGUGCUGUGUUGUUGGAUUGGAUGUUUAAUUGGAGUUGAGGGUGUGGGAGGGAGAGUGUCCCACGGUUGUGUGCAAUAUGGUGAGGUGCGUGGGUUCCCAUGGUUCCAACGCCUUUAGACAGUUUAACUAUUCAUUUAUGUCACAAGCUCUCCGUUGGGGACCUGCCGCACAAACUGCCACAAUAAAUACUGAUCGUGCCACAAAGCACUCAAAAACUUGGCUUCCGAAGAAGAGCGUGCGGAGUACAAGUUUUCAUUUUUUGUUGCCUGAAACAUAACAAUUUUUUAAUACAUAUUCACUGCGCAUUAUCUUCCAGCUGCUCAACAUUCUUCCUCUCUUGGAAAGUGAGACGAUAAACCCCAUUAAUCCAAUUAAAGGUGACAUUAAAGCUACAAUUUGACUUAGCAACUUCACCACACUUUGCUUUUUGUAUUGAAACUGCGCCGUGGAUCACCCGAACACCUAUUUAUGAAAGACGAAGAGAUCUAAUUUCAAGUUUCAAAAAGCCAGUUGAUCGUAUUUCCCUGCGUUACGCUGUGCUGAAACUGACAAUGCUGCUUUCCGCACAGUUGUACCCCGCUGACUUGUUGCAACGUCCCACAGUUCACAGCUUGUAGCACGGCAGGUGUGAACUCAGGCAGCCAGCUCUGAAAAUACAAGCAACAUUCUUCCAGCUACAGGGGUGUGGCAGCUGGAAGGGAAAAGAUGCAGCAAUUAUGGGGAAGGAGCUGCAAGACUAUCCCCAGGGGCUCAGAACGAUCUGGACAGGCUGAUAAAGAACAGUGCACACCCGAGGCAUGUGUGGGAAGAGCUAUAAACCUGUCCUAUCCAUGUACAUGUCUAAACCUUUCUUUACGUUGCGAUAAUACCGGCUUCAACUACCUCCUCCGGCAGCUCGGUGGUUGAGGCAGCGCCAUAACAGCAUUUGACAGAUGGACCCCUGGCGAAAGCUGUUGGAUGAGAUGCCUGAAAAUAUGAAUUCCAUGCUGAAACAUUUGCACAAAUGGGAGUAUGAAAUGGUUCCACGGACAGUUUUAGGCAAGGGUAAAAGAAGAUGAAAACUGCAGCUCAGAACAUCAGCCAACUCUUAUCAUUAGGGAAACUCAAUGUUGCUGUUGGCAAGGAAAGCAGAUGGAUUGUUUUCGAUGAAAGCAUUAAACUCAUUCAUCAAGUCAUCGGACUUCUAAGAGGAAAUGUCAACCAAAAGGCAUGUCCUUCGAUUGUCAAAUGUAAACAGAUGAUUAGUUGCUUGGAAAGUCCGACAUGUACCAAUGUGAAGACAAUUGUGAAUAUUUUAAUUGUUUUGCCAUUGAAAAAAAAAGAUGUUUGUUGAAAAAAUUGAGUUUUUAUAUGACAUAAAAUGUUUAUAAUUAUUGAAGACGGUUCUUAUUGUACAAUGUCAUUCAACAUGGAGAUGGGAAGAGGGGCAGGAUUCACGUUAGGUCAAGUCAUACCAAAAUGGCUCAGUGACGCGGCUGGAAGAACUACUACCUCACAGCGCCAGAGAACCAGGUUCGAUCCUGACCUCAGGUGCAGCAUGGAGUUUGCACGUUCUCUCUAUAAUUUGCCCUUUCAUGUGUAGGGGGGUAAAUGUGAAAGUGGGAUAACAUAGAACUAGUGUGAAAAUGCUGGAGUAACUCAGCCGGUCAGGCAGCAUCUCUGGAGAAUAUGGAUAGAUGAUGUUUCGGGUCAGGAAUUGUCCUGAGUGUGUAGGAUAGAACUAGUGUAUGGGUGAUUGCUGGUCGGCAUGAUCUUGGUGGGUCAAUGGGCCUGUUUCCACAUUGUAUAUCUAAACGAAACUCAACUAAACUAAACUAAAGAUAGACACAAAAUGCUGGAGUAACUCAGCGGCUCAGGCAGCAUCUCUGGAGAAAAGGACUAGGUGACAUUUUGGGUUGAAACUCUUCUUCACACUGAGAAUCAGGGGAGAGGGAAACUCGAGGUAUGGCAAGGUUCAGUGAUUUGUUCUGAACCUUUUCAUACCUCUUGUUUCUCUAUUCCUUUUGUCCAGAGAUGCUGCCUGACCCGCUGAGUUACUCCAGAAUUUUGAGUCUAUCUUCAGUGUAAACGAGCAUUUGCAGUUCCUUCCUACACAUCGAACUAAUGGUCGGCAAUGGAGUUGGUGGGCAGAAGGGCCCGUUUCCAUGCUAUAUCUUUGAAUUAAUCAAUCAAAAAUGAGUUUCUGCUGUACAUCAGAAGAAAAAAAUACAGUGUAUGGUCUUUUUUUUUCUAUUUUGGACAACUCUGGUGAUGAGCCUUUCAUAUCUUGCUGUUGGCUGAAAUGCGAAUUAUAGAUCCAUUUAUAAUGCUUUCACCUCAGAAUCGAAGGUUCUAGUCCACUCUAGAGCCUUGAGCACAAACCUCAGCGGAUGCUCACGAGCACUGAGGGAAUGCUGCAGCUUCAGAGAGAAUGAGGCUUCAAUCAAGACUGAAUAACAACUAAAGGUAAAAGAGCAGGAGGAGGCAUUUCAACUUCACGUUCACAACAAGAUCAUGCCUGAUCCUUUCUCUCAGCACCAUUUUUCUGCUCUAUCCCUCGAUCCCUAGAUCCUUCGACCCCUUUGGUAUCCAGAAUUAUAUUAAAAUUCAAGAGAGUGAAGAUGCUGGAAUCUGGUGCAGCUUGAUGUUUCGGAAAUAUAUUAAUUGGUUCUAAAUGCAUUAAUUCCUGAGCCUAUGCUGCCCUCUGGGAUGGAGAAUUCAAACGAAUCACCAUUCUCCUAGUGAAGACAUUUCCUCCCAUUCCAGUCCUAAAUGGCCCAUUCUAAAUGACGUGCUGUGACUUCAAGUCCUAAACUUCAUCUUGGAACAAUCUUCCUCCCCACAACUAUUGUUCCAAGAACUUUAAUAAGGUAACCUCAUACAAGAGUACAGCGUAGGAUCAGGCCCUUCAGCCCAUGAUUCUGUGCUGACCGCAAUGCCAAAUUAAACUAAUCGCUUCUGCCCACACAUGAUCAGUAUCUGUCCAAUUCCCUGCCUGGGAAGGGAAAAUGGGACUGAUCAGAUCACUCCACAAAAAGAUAGCAUAGAUCAAAUGGGCCGAAUGGUUUCCUUCUGUGCCUUCAUGGUUAAAUGAUUAGAUAUAGAUGUUCAGUAAUUGGAGCUUCAGAAUAUGUUCCAAGUGAUUAUCCAUUUCCCCCAGAAGGAUGCUGAAAGAACAGGAUAAGCAGUAACAAGUACAAGUCGUAGCCAUAGACUCAAAUGAUCUUUAAAGCUUGUGAACUCUGCAGAGCAUCAUCAUGACUUGAUCCCACAAUGCAAAAGCAGUCUGUACAUCCAACAUUAGUGAAGAUUUUAUGCUGCAUGGUCCAAACAAAAGAGCAGAGAUGAUAAGAUUAAUUUUGUACCAAAUUCUUAUAGUAAGGUAGGGCAGAGAGCAUUGGGAGUAGGGGGGAACAGGAGGAGACAGAGAGUGGAGGACAGAGGAGGUGGAAGGAAAGAGAGAACAUUUUGACUAGUGACCCACUUCCCACAGAAAGGAAGAAAAUGUUUGAAUUCAUUGUAAAUGCAGUCAUACUUUCCUCCAUUAAGUCCCAGGGCAGCUGGCAAGUGAAUUCAUACGUUCAUAAGUUCUCGGAGUAGAAUGAGGCCAUUCAGACCAAUAAGUCUGCUCUGCCAUUCAAUCAUGGCUGAUCUAUCCUUCCCUCUCAACCCCAUUCUCCUGCUUUCUCCCCAAAACACCCUGAAAAGAUGACCGAGAAAUCCCAUCUCCAGCUAAAUCAUCCAUUCUGUUCCAUUGGAAUCUCAUGCACAUGCAUAGCCACAAAAUAUUAAGUGUGAACUGAUAUAUUAAAGAUAAGCAGGAUUCCCUGAGGGUGCAUUUAUUACCAAGAUAUUUAAGUAUUCACUGUGAAUUAGAGGGGAAGCUGAACACAUGCUCAACCACGAAGCAGGAAAAGACGAAUAACUGGCAGUAAUCCAAGCCCAAUGCAAGGUUUCAGUGAUGUUGGAAACUGUAUCGGCAAAGUGCACGUGCCUUAUAAUUAAGGCAGAUAGGCUUCAGGCACUUUAGGCAACUAAGGCUGUCUGCACGGAGUUUAUACGUUCUCCCCGUAACCACGUGGGUUUUCUCCGGGAGCUCUGGUUUCCUGCAAUAUUCCAGAUGUACAGGUUUGUAGGUUAAUUGGCUUUGAUAAUAAUUGUAAAUUGUCCCUAGUGUGUAGAAUAGUGCGAGGGUAUAAGGUAGGUGAUCGUUGGUCAGUGCCGGUGGGCCGAAGGGCCUGAUGCUCUGCUGUAUCUCUAAACUAAAGUAAACUAAACUAAUCCCAGCUGUCCGAAUUGCUGAGUUCAAGCUAUUUUUCUUUUAAUCUAUGGUGGACCUGGUGUGGCAUGAGUGCCACCUCCCACUUUGCUCCUUGCGCCAUUUAUACUGCAGUACUAGAUGUUACCAAGGACAUCACGGCCUGCGGCUUUAUACAGAAUUAAUUGUGAUGAUGCUUUAUGGUGACUCAUUGCCAGUACUUUGUGAAACAGUGUGCACACAUUCUUCCAAACAGCAAGAAUUGCUGGGCAAAGAGCACAGAGGCGACUGCAUUGCUGCUUCAUGUGGAGAGAGUUUAGACAUACAGCGCAGAAACAGGCCCUUCGGCCCACCAAAUGCGCACCAACCAGCAAACCCCAACACUGUCCUACACACCAGAGACAAUUUAUUUUUACAAUCCAAUUAACCUACCAACCUUCACGUCUUUGGAAUGUGGGAGGAAACCGGAGGGAAACCCACACAGAUCACGGGGAGAAUAUACAAACUCCAUACAGACAGCACCAGUAGUCAGGAUCGAACCUGGGACUCUGGCGCUGUAAGGCAGCAACGCUACCGCUGCGCCACCGUGCUGCCUCAUGCCGUGCUGCCGCCCCAUUGCUGAAACAUUGCUAGAACUAGCCAAGGGCAGCACGGAGGCGCAGCAUUAGAGUUGAAGCCUAACAUCGCCAGAGACCCGGGUUCGAUCCUGACUACUGGUGGUGCUGUCUGUAUGAAGUUUGUACAUAUUCCCCGUGACCACAUGGGUUUUCCCUGAGUGCUCCAGUUUCCCCCACACACCAAAGACGUAUGGGUUUGUAGGAUAAUUGGCUUUGGUAAAAAUUGUAAAUUGUCCCUAGUGUGUGUAGGAUAACGUUAAUGUACAGGGCGAUCACUGGUCGGCGCAGACUCGGUGGACCGAAGGGCCUGUUUCCGUGCUGUAUCUCUAAACUAAACUAAACUUCUGCAGUGAUGUCCUAAAGCUGAACUCACACCUCCAAACCUAGUAAUUACUCCAUUCUAAAUGGGUUUUCAAAAGGACUGCUUUUAAAUCCAGGUAAUUUAGCCACUGUGCUGGACUAGGCUGAAUGCUGUAUUUUCAGCUGAAAGAAUUUGCAUUCGGGUUACAGCAACCUUAAUUAAUUUGUAUAAAGUUCAACGAAUAUCCUUUAUUAUUCCAGAGCGGCAGAUAGAAAGGUGUGCCCUUUUGAGUCCAAUUUAACUCUGGUGCCAAUGUUCAUAGCUGCACACCCGACAUUUUCACAACCUCCCUAGCAACCACAUCCCAGUAUUCAUUAGCCAGCUGCAAGUCAUUUAUUCUAAAUGCAGCAGCAACGCACCCCC